GACCAACCCUCCUGGGUUGCCUGGGACUGAGAGGGUCCUGGGAUGUGGGACUUGCAGUGUUAAAACUGAGACAGUU
ensembl:miRNA